rnacentral:rRNA from 1 species
AUUGAACGCUGGCGGCAGGCCUAACACAUGCAAGUCGAACGAGUGGCGGACGGGUGAGUAAUGCCUGGGAAACUGCCUGAUGGCGGGGGAUAACUACUGGAAACGGUAGCUAAUACCGCCUACCAUCGGAUGUGCCCAGAUGGGAUUAGCUAGUAGGUGGGGUAACGGCUCACCUAGCCGACGAUCCCUAGCUGGUCUGAGAGGAUGACCAGCCACACUGGAACUGGGACAGGGUCCAGACUCCGACGGGAGGCAGCAUUGGGGAAGAUUGCACAAUGGGGGCAAGCCUGAUGCAGCCAUGCCGCGUGUAUGAAGAAGGCCUUCGGGUUGUAAAGUACUUUCAGCGGCGAGGAGUUACCCGCAGAAGAAGCACCGGAUAACGCCGUGCCAGCAGCAGCGGUAAUAC